rnacentral:rRNA from 1 species
CGUGUAGGCGGAUUAGAAAGUCGGGCGUGAAAUACCUCGGCUCAACCGAGGAAUUGCGUCCGAAACUUCUUUUCUUGAGUGUGGAAGGGGAGAGUGGAACUCCUGGUGGAGCGGUGAAAUGCGUAGAUAUCAGGAGGAACGCCGGUGGCGAAAGCGGCUCUCUGGUCCACUACUGACGCUGAGGCGCGAAAGCCAGGGGAGCAAACG